rnacentral:rRNA from 1 species
UACCAGCUCUCCGAGUGGUAGGGAUGAUUAUUGGGCUUAAAGCGUCCGUAGCCGGCUUAGCAAGUUUCCUGUUAAACCCAGCGACUCAAUCGUUGGAUCGCGGGAGAUACUACUAGGCUAGGAGGCGGGAGAGGUCAACGGUACUUCUGGGGUAGGGGUGAAAUCCUAUAAUCCCGGGAGGACCACCAGUGGCGAAGGCUGUUGACUAGAAUGCGCUCGACGGUGAGGGACGAAAGCUGGGGUAGCAAACCGGAUUAGAUACCCGGGUAGUCCCAGCUGUAAACGAUGCGAGCUAGGUGUUGGGAUGGCUACGGGCCAUUUCAGUGCCGCAGGGAAGCCAUUAAGCUCGCCGCCUGGGGAGUACGGCCGCAAGGCUGAAACUUAAAGGAAUUGGCGGGGGAGCACCACAAGGGGUGAAGGCUGCGGUUU